rnacentral:lncRNA from 1 species
GGAGGAAGCGCCUUCGCCGUGAUCUGCCGAGGGCAGUGGUGCAGAGGGACGCAACACCGGACUUCUGCCGGCUAUUGCUGUGGAGUUUGUUGAAGUUUCGCCGUCGGCAGUGGGUGGUGGUGGUGGUGUUCCGAGGCGGCGAAGGACGUUGAGGCGUCCAUUCUAUUGAUUUCUUGCCGGUGCGCCGUUGUUCUGGUUCUGGUGAUUUGCGCCAAGACGACGACCACCGCGAGGGCCAUGGUGACGUCCAGAGCCUCUAACAGGACGAAGUCCAGGGCGUCCAAACCGGUGAAGGCCACGGCGACCAAACUGGCGACGACUGAAGUUGAGGCGGAUGCCGCGAAGGGGACGGAGUCGUCGUCCUCCAUUCUGUGCAGCAGGAAUCAAGAACAAGAGAAAUUAUGAGUUUUCCAUGCUUACCAAUGAAAAAUUUCAAUCCUUUG